rnacentral:rRNA from 1 species
AUGGACGACGCCAAGCCACGGCACCUCGGCGGCUCGCUGCCCGUGCCCAACGUGCAGGACCUCGCCGCCCGGCGUGACGAGCUCACGCUCACGCCCACCCUCCUCGACUGCGUCCCGACGCCCCUGCCUGCGAAAGAGCAGGAGCAGAUCCCCGUGGUCGACCUCGGCCGGCUCCUCGACCUCGCCGGCGGACGGGAGGAGGAGGCCGCCAGGCUGCGGUGGGCCUGCGAGAACUGGGGCUUCUUCCAGGUGGUGAACCACGGGACACCCGAGGAGACCGUGGAGGAGAUGAAGAGGAACGUCAUGGGAUUCUUCGCGCUCCCGCUGGCGGAGAAGGCGGCCCUCGCGCAGGAGCCCGGAGAGAUCGAGGGGUAUGGCCAGGCGUUCGUCGUCUCGGAGGAGCAGACGCUGGACUGGGCCGACAUGUUCUUCCUCCUCACGCAGCCGCCCAGCUACCGCGACCUCCGCCUCUGGCCGUCCAACCCUCCCACGUCCAAGAAUUGCUUGGAGAACUACUCUGCGGAGGUGCAAAGGGUGGCAGGCGAGCUGCUGCGAGCCAUGGCGGAGAACCUGGGCGCGAGGGACCACUCGGACAUGACGAGGCUCGCCGCAUCGCAGGCGGUGAGGAUGAACUACUGCCCGCCUUGCCCGGAGGCGCACGUGGACAGGUUGCUGGGCUUGUCGCCGCACUCGGACGCCGUCGCGCUGACGCUGCUGCUGCAGGUCAGCCCGGUCCCCGGGCUGCAGAUAAGGAGGAAUGGCGGCUGGGUCCCGGUGAUGCCGCUCCCCGGCGCCCUCGUCGUCAACGUCGGCGACGUGGUCGAGGUGCUGACCAACGGGAAGUACAAGAGCGUCGAGCACAGGGCGGUGGUGAAUGCACGCGAGCAGCGGAUGUCCACCGCGGCGUUCCACGGUGCGAAGUUCGGUGGCACGUACGGACCACUGAAAGAGGUCGUCAAAGAAGAGGAGGCCCGGUACAGGAGUGUCAGCGUCGAGGAGUACACCAAGCUCAUGCUCUCCAGCAAGCUCGACGGCAAGAACAUCAUAAUAGUCCCAAAGGUCAACGAACUA